GAUGAACGCUGGCGGCGUGCCUAAUACAUGCAAGUCGAGCGAACAGAUGAGGAGCUUGCUCCUCUGACGUUAGCGGCGGACGGGUGAGUAACACGUAGAUAACCUACCUAUAAGACUGGGAUAACUUCGGGAAACCGGAGCUAAUACCGGAUAAUAUAUUGAACCGCAUGGUUCAAUAGUGAAAGACGGUUUUGCUGUCACUUAUAGAUGGAUCCGCGCCGCAUUAGCUAGUUGGUAAGGUAACGGCUUACCAAGGCAACGAUGCGUAGCCGACCUGAGAGGGUGAUCGGCCACACUGGAACUGAGACACGGUCCAGACUCCUACGGGAGGCAGCAGUAGGGAAUCUUCCGCAAAGGGCGAAAGCCUGACGGAGCAACGCCGCGUGAGUGAUGAAGGUCUUCUGAUCGUAAAACUCUGUUAUUAGGGAAGAACAAAUGUGUAAGUAACUAUGCACGUCUUGACGGUACCUAAUCAGAAAGCCACGGCUAACUACGUG
rnacentral:rRNA from 1 species